rnacentral:rRNA from 1 species
GAUAACGCUGGCGGUGUGCCUAAUACAUGCAAGUCGUACGCAUUCUCGUUUCUGAUUGACGGUGCUUGCACCUAAUUGACGAGACAUUGGAAUGAGUGGCGGACGGGUGAGUAACACGUGGGUAACCUGCCCAGAAGCGGGGGAUAACAUUUGGAAACAGAUGCUAAUACCGCAUAAAAGUCAAAACCACAUGGUUUUGAUUUGAAAGAUGGCCUUUGUGCUAUCACUUCUGGAUGGACCCGCGGCGUAUUAGCUAGUUGGUAAGGUAACGGCUUACCAAGGCAAUGAUACGUAGCCGAACUGAGAGGUUGAUCGGCCACAAUGGGACUGAGACACGGCCCAUACUCCUACGGGAGGCAGCAGUAGGGAAUCUUCCACAAUGGGCGCAAGCCUGAUGGAGCAACACCGCGUGAGUGAAGAAGGGUUUCGGCUCGUAAAACUCUGUUGUUAAAGAAGAACGUAUCUAAGAGUAACUGCUUAGGUAGUGACGGUAUUUAACCAGAAAGCCACGGCUAACUACGUGCCAGCCGCCGCGGUAA